rnacentral:rRNA from 1 species
GGAAUCUUGCGCAAUGGGCGAAAGCCUGACGCAGCAACGCCGCGUGGGGGAUGAAGGCCUUCGGGUUGUAAACCCCUUUACGGAGGGAAGAAAUUGACGGUACCUCCAAAAGAAGCACCGGCCAACUACGUGCCAGCAGCCGCGGGAAUACGUAGGGUGCAAGCAUUAUCCGGAAUCAUUGGGCGUAAAGAGCCCGUAGGCGGUUCAGCAAGUCGGCUGUGAAAGUCUGAGGCUCAACCUCAGAAUUGCAGUCGAUACUGCUGUGACUCGAGUCCGGUAGAGGAGAAUGGAAUUCCCGGUGUAGCGGUGAAAUGCGCAGAUAUCGGGAGGAACACCAGUAGCGAAGGCGGUUCUCUGGGCCGGCACUGACGCUGAGGAGCGAAAGCGUGGGGAGCAAAC